rnacentral:rRNA from 2 species
GGUUGACCUCGGAUCAGGUAGGGAUACCCGCUGAACUUAAGCAUAUCAAUAAGCGGAGGAAAAGAAACCAACCGGGAUUGCCUCAGUAACGGCGAGUGAAGCGGCAAGAGCUCAAAUUUGAAAUCUGGCCCCUCCGGGGUCCGAGUUGUAAUUUGCAGAGGAUGCUUCGGGUGCGGCCCCUGUCUAAGUGCCCUGGAACGGGCCGUCAGAGAGGGUGAGAAUCCCGUCU